rnacentral:rRNA from 1 species
CUACGGGUUGCUCCAGUAGGGAAUCUUCGGCAAUGGGGGCAACCCUGACCGAGCAACGCCGCGUGAGUGAAGAAGGUUUUCGGAUCGUAAAGCUCUGUUGUAAGAGAAGAACGAGUGUGAGAGUGGAAAGUUCACACUGUGACGGUAACUUACCAGAAAGGGACGGCUAACUACGUGCCAGCAGCCGCGGUAAUACGUAGGUCCCGAGCGUUAUCCGGAUUUAUUGGGCGUAAAGCGAGCGCAGGCGGUUAGAUAAGUCUGAAGUUAAAGGCUGUGGCUUAACCAUAGUACGCUUUGGAAACUGUUUAACUUGAGUGCAGAAGGGGAGAGUGGAAUUCCAUGUGUAGCGGUGAAAUGCGUAGAUAUAUGGAGGAACACCGGUGGCGAAAGCGGCUCUCUGGUCUGUAACUGACGCUGAGGCUCGAAAGCGUGGGGAGCAAACAGGAUUAGAUACCCUAGUAGUC